rnacentral:rRNA from 1 species
ACCUGUAGCUUUUGUUUUUUGUUAAAUCUCACUAACUAUAUAGCACUGGACUGGAUCAGUACUUGGAUGGGAGACUUCGCAGGAAAAUCUACGGUGCUGCAGGAG